GCAGGUUUUGUGUCUGCAAGUGUUCGGUAACAAAAAAGAUAAUCCUCCGCCUCAAAGCACUUGGAGAGCUCACUCUUUUCAGUAUCGUGAAAGACACGGGGAGGGAAAUAACCUAAACCUCUGAGGAGAGUUUGCUGUAAAUGCUGUAAAUGCUGUAGGUAGUGCCAUAUAGUAUCACUUUCCUUCCAAAUAAUUAUUUGAGAAAAGGAGACUUUAGGUGGAAAAUUAGUUUCCACUGGUUAAGAAAAUCGUCCUACAAUUCCAGGGGUGAGGGGAGAGUCACCCAUGGAUAAACACAGAAGCCGUCAAAGGCAGUGUCGGAUUUCCAGGAGGGAUGCUCUAAAUUUAGGCGAGGGGUGAGAGGAGGGACGGGAGAUAAAGCAUGAUGAAAUUUGCUGUGCCUCAGCGGGGCACAGGGUGGAGAUAGCGAUUCAAACCUGGGUCCACCGAAGCAAAAGCUUCCCGUGGUGCAGCGUCCAUAAAGCGCAGACGGGACUGGUAGCUCGUCCACUUUUAGGCUGUGCGAUGUGUCAGUGCUCCUACGUCCCUGCAGCUCAUGGUCCUUGUCUACGCGUCCGUCCACUGACGUCUGCCUCAGCACAUGCCUACAUUUGAAUUUCUUAGUCGUUUGAAAAUUGUAUUGCUAUGGAUUAUUUCUUACUGAAUGUUUAAACCAGUGCAGGUUGCCGUGAGCUUACAUGAAGAAUCCCUGCGGGACUCAUGCGUGAGGUAAAGGCGUUGCAGUCAGGGAACGUACCCUGCAUCCAGGAGGGGCGUGCUUGAAAUGGACAUCUCGGAGUGAACUGGGAUGCUCAGGCAGCACAGGAGGAGCUGGAGGAUAACAAGCUAUAGGUCCCGACGCUGGAGUGCAAGGAUAAUUUGCAUUUAAGUGCAGUGGGUAAUCUAGAAUGCUAAUAAAAUUGAUAGAGAAUCAUAAAAUAAUUUAGAUUGGAAGAAACCUCUGGAGUUCAAAGCGGGGCCGACCCCAGCGAUACAUGAGGCUGCUCAGGGACAACGUCUCAGAGUCUCCGGGACUCUUUGCACAGAAAACGUUUAGUAGCACAGCUCCUCCCAAAUCACCUCACCACUCUCUUGCUUUGCCAGCUCCCUCCAAGGGGUUCCUCCUCCAUUCAGAGUGCUCAACGUGGGGAACUCAAACCAUUGUGGCUAAUUUAAUUGGUCAUUAAUGGCCUUGUGACAACAGAACUUAGAUUGUAUUGGUGAAUUUGAUACUUUUACUCUAUGGACACAGGUCUCACCAGGUAAUCUUAACUUUUGCAUAGCACUCUUGUCACUGAGUAAGUCACAAAAAUAAAAUUAAAUUGCUUAUCUUUGCUGCAGAAGUUUUUAUUUUUAGACUGCUUUGUUGCAAAUGCAGUUUUAUGUUAUAUUCAUGAUGGGACUAAAUAUUUCAAAAAGCGUCCUGAGAUGCUGUAGCAAGAAUGCAUUUAUUUUGUAGUAAAGUUAAUUCACUGUUUCUUCAUCAACAGUUUUUCAGUUCCCCUGUCAAACCCACAUGCUACUAAGGUUCCUAGGUAGAAAUGAUCACUGAUGUGCAGCUCCUGGUGAUUUUUAGCACACCUUUUUUCCUUGUAGUCUCUUGAGAGUCAGUGGUGUUUACUACCAAAGUUCAUCAGUUUGGACAACAACUAGAACCUCUUUCCUGUUCCAUUUUUUGAUGAGACAGUAUAGGAAAGAACUCUUUAGUGGUUAAGUGCCCUAGUCCUGCAGACAGCAAAACUGGUUUGUUCAGUCGCAAAUCUAAUCCUACGGAUAAAACUUGCAGCUUUCUUAUUUCUCUGAUAGCCCCAUGGUUCUUUCCGCUUCUUUCUCCUAUACCACAGACAGGCAUGCAAGUCUCCCAUGGUUCAUUAGUUAAAAAAAAAAAUCAUAAACUGAUUCAGCUUCCUGUAAAUGAAGAGCUCUCACGCCUCACAUGGGAGAGCGGAAUUAACAAUUGAUGCAUCGUGUUGCAUAUGCUGCUGCUGCAGUGUGCUGUCUUGCACCAAAUCUAGAAUAACCCAAAUCUAAACUAUGCCAUUGCCAGUCACUGGCGUUGCUAUGUUUAAAAAUAAUUAAGUGGGCAUAAUGCUAUGGAAGGGAGUGAAUAGCGCAUACAAUCCUGUUUAGCAUUCCAACUGCAUAUAUAUAUCUGGGGAGAAAGGUUUAUAGAGCUACUUAGUGGAUGAAUGUCAUGGCUGAUAAAUUCCAUAUGUAAUAAUACUUAAAGUCCAUUCCAUCAAAAUAUUUAAAAGCAUGUUUGUAUGUUCUGCUGAAUUAGGGUUUCAGUGAACAAAUGGCAAGCUCCUACACAAAGAAUAGGAUCUUUUGCUCUUAGAGGAUAAAAUUCAUUCUAUGAGACCCUGAGAAUUAAAUUCUCAUACUUGUGUAACCCACGAUGUAGAAUAUCAUGCUGACUGGGGACAGUAUGCAAGCCACAGGGGGAGUGAGCUUCAUACACACAUCCAGUGUUUCCUUUGGUCACAGCUGAGGAGAAUAUUUAACUUCUGAGUCAACUCUUACAGAAAUCAGUGACAAGCAGAUCAUGCCAUGGGAAACAUCAUGCGGUUCCAGGGUAUACCAAUCGUGGCAUUUUCAGCAAAAUGCUACUCAUACUAACAGCAUGUUAUUUCUGGGGAGAUUUGUGUCCCAAAGUUCCUGCCAAGACCUAACAACCGCUUUCACGAUGAGGCUGGCUCCUCCAAGAUAUCUUCAAAGACCGAUGGGAUGUUAUCUGAUUCCUAGAGCACAUUUCUGCCACAGAUAUCCAUACAACAAAGAAGAUUCAAGAUUUUUUUUUUUUUAGAGUUGAAACUCCACUAACAUGUCUUUUGUAUUAUUGGAAAUCUAUGUUCCCAGGCACAUGAAAGUUUCAAUUCAAAUACUUCUGCAUGUUAAGGGAUUUUUGAAGCUAGAAAUUCACUAAUAGGAGAGGCGCUUUUGUCUCACAAAUAAAAGCAUUACUCUAGAGAAUGGGAUUAUUUGCUGUGGGGAUCACACAACACAGUGAGCAUGGCUGAAUUGGAGCCUUAUUACUGUGGCAGAAGUGAAUGCACAUUUGUCCUGAUAUGCCAAAAGUGGAAAAAUAGAUUAUAGCUGAAAAUAGAUAGCAUAAGCAGUCACCCUGUAGUAUGAGCAGCACUACGCCACAGAACAAGUACCAGGAAGAGAAAAUAAUGCUUGAAGACGGGGAAGAAAGGACUCACAAACCUCGAUGCCAUCACUGGUCUGAGGUUCUGUCUGUGCUGCACGUCCAGGUGCAGCUGAAGUAGAUGUACCCGAGUGGAUUUGGGUGGCACGGGUUCAGCUGUCUUGGGAAGGAGCCUGUGCUGAAUUUUCACUGCGGUUCAACCUGACACGGGUGCAUCUGCUUGUGCUGCAAUCCUUGCUUCCAGAGUACCAUCAGAGAAGACUUUUGGAAGUGUAAGCCCCAUUCCCAAUAACAGAACUUGUAAACUCCCAGAAGACCCAGAGGGGUUACAGUCAGUAGCAGUUUCUGAGUAAACUGAACUCAAAUUGAGUUUGUGCAGUUAUUCCUCUUGGAAUACCUUGUAAGUGAUACUGGGAAAAGUAAUUUACAACCUUAAUCAGGACAUGCAGUGAAGUACUUAAUUUUGCACAAUCACACCUUGUGAUCGCAGACAGGUCAGGAAGGUAUCGUGAAUUAAAACUCACCAUCCACCACUUGAUAACUGUUGCCUUGCACUUUUAGCACGGAGCAAGCAGGAGAUAAUGUGAGUCAACCUAGUCCACAACACCAGAACUUUAAGUAUAUUUGCAUUACUUUGUGUUACGUUUGCUGCAGAACAAAACAUACACAUGGACGAGUAUUAUGCAUAUCAGAUGCUAUAACUUGUGAAUACUCGUGAGCCCGUGGACAGACACUCUGCUCCAGAUCUAACUGUGCCAUUUUCCAUCUCAGAUGCCGUGGUUACUGCUGACAUAGCUCUGCUGGUAAAAGGGUUUGUUUAAGAGGUCUUUAAUUUGCUCCAGGCCAAGUGAGCAGGUUAGUUUAUACCCUCUCAUCGGCUAAUCCAUCUGACUUGUUGGAAGCUGGUGAGGGAGCACUCACAUCAUUGCUUUUGCCAACAGAGCUGUGGGGGUGGAAGCUCUCGGCAGAGGGCUGUUCAGGAACAACUGGAAGAAUGAUAAUGUCACCAACUGGCACACCUGUCUGCAAACUCAAUGCCAGUGCAUGACUUAGUCCUGCAUACGCUGCUGGAUAUUUUAACUCUUCCAAACAUGUUCAUGCCUUUUCUGUUACACAUUCUUGGCUUAGUUCCCUUUUAUACUAAGUGCUUUUGUAUUGGCCUGGCACUAUAGAACAAUUUGAAAGUGUUCAGUGAUGUAAUUUAUACACCCCCUCCCCUCUUCUUUUUUUUUUUUUUUUUUUAAGUGUUCAAAGAUGGAAUUUAUAACCCUUUUAAAGCCUUCUUAUUCUUCAAAACAGUGUGAAAAGGGUCUGACGGGUGAAUAUCAAUAACUGUAGUCCUGCAGAAUUAAAUCCAUAAUGUUUUAUCCAGAACCUCAGCCCCGAAUGCAGGGCAUCUGUCAGCCGAGUGACAGUCCAUUUGGGGCUUGGUGUCUCACAGGUUUUAUACCACUGGAGAGAAGCUCACGUUGCAGCGCAGAGUCCAGCAUUUUUUCCUGGUUUUCACGUUUUCUCAUGCUUGCUGUGUACAUGACUCCUGUUACUCUUAAACCCAGAGGGGCCCAGUGGCACACAGGCCUCCACAAAGAGUUUUGUCUGGCUGGCUGCAAGCAGCUGUCCUCAUCGCUGUCUUUCCAGGUUCGUCCGUCCUGUCGCAGAGCCUUCCCCUCUGGCUGCACCCUCACCUUGACAGAGCCAGAGGACACAUGGCAGCUCCACUCCUUCUGCAGAUUCCCCUGCUGUCUUUGGCGAACGGUCGCUGUAUGGCAGAUAUAUUGCAGAGUCUAUUUUCCACUUUCUGUUUUCUUCUCCUUUUCAGUAUUAUCCUAAUCUCCACAGCUUUCACGAACACAUUUUCCUUGUAUUUUCAGGCUAGGGCUUUUAGACAGCCUUACCAACAGUUUAGCCUUAGCAAAUGCAAUGAACUUCCUCUUAGUUUCAGUCCUCUUUUAAAGUGAUGUAUCCUUUUUUUAAUCUAACAUAUAUUGAUUCUUUCUUAUUAAGAUCUGAUCCUUUUUGUCUGUCUUCAGGUCAGGCCUCUACUCUGAAUGUAAGUCAGCUCCUAAAGCCAUAGGAUCUCACGUUCUGCCUCACUGAAAAAAUAGUCCAUUCUUGGUAUUUCAUGUCUUGUGUUUCUUUGAUGGUUCUCCUUCACAGUCCUGCGUUUUGCAGUCUGCAGCUCGGACAGAUGUGCUUUAUCAGCGAGUGAAUGGGCUGUGAAAGAUGCACUCUAAUCAAGAGCGCAAGCUCCUGUUCUGGGUGUUUAGACAACGGCACCUUCCCCGUGGCUUUGAUCAGUGCUUGUUCAAUCAGGGCACAGCCUCCUCCUAACUUUCUGACUGCUGACUUCAGGUGCCUGGCUGACUCCUACUUGCUGCAUGAGUUGGGAUGAACCUGGAGUCAAGACUUUCUUUGCCCUUUCUUUGCAAGUCAUUCACCCAACAUCUAGUUUGCAGAUGCAGGACCUGCCUUUAAACAGUAAAAUGCAUCUUCUGGUAUCUUUGAGUGUGGGAGAGUAACCAUUGGUGAAGAAUACUAACAACUUGGUUGAAUAGUGUAACAAGAAAUAAAACUGCAGCAGAAUUUGCA